rnacentral:rRNA from 1 species
ACUCAAAUGAAUUGACGGGGACUUGCACAAGCGGUGGAUCAUGUGGUUUAAUUCGAUGACAAACGAAGAACCUUACCAGGGUUUGAAACCUAGCUGAAGACCAGAAGAAACUUUGGUUGUCGCAAGACAGUUAGGCAGGUGAUGCAUGGCCGUCGUCAGUUCGUGGCUUGAGUUGUUCCCUUCAGUGGGGUAACGAACGCAACCCUCGUUGCCUGUUAUAUUUGUCAGGCGAGACUGCCCACGACAUAGUCCGUGAUUGGAUCAUUCCAAUCGUUGAUUGCGUCGUGGGAGGAAGGUGAGGAUGACGCCAGGUCAGCAUGUCCCUCUGAUACCCUGGGCUACACACGUGAUACAAUCGCAUCUACAACGGGACGCAAUGCCGAUAAAAGGCGGAGCAAAUCCUUAUAAAAGGUGCGCCAGUUUGGAUUGAGGUCUGCAACUCGACCUCAUGAAACCGGAAUCGCUAGUAAUCGCAGGUCAGCUAUACUGCGGUGAAUACGUUCUCGAGUCUUGUACACACCGCCCGU